rnacentral:rRNA from 1 species
UUGAAAGCCCUUGCUAUGAAAUUUUACACACACAUAUUAAAAGUUAUAGAAUGUUAUAUAGCGUGUAACAGCGCAAAUAAAUAUACAACUUUCAGCAACGGAUCUCUUGGCUCUCGCAUCGAUGAAGAACGCAGCGAAAUGCGAUAAGUAAUGUGAAUUGCAGAAUUCAGUGAAUCAUCGAAUCUUUGAACGCACCUUGCGCUCCUUGGUAUUCUGAGGAGCAUGCCUGUUUGAGUGUCAUGAAAUUCUCAACUGCUUCAACUUUUGUGGUUGAAGUGAAGUUGGACUUGGAGGAAUCAUUGCUGGCGUGACCUUUUAGGUUGCUUGUUAGCUCCUCUUAAAUGGAUGAACUUUCCAUUUACAAAGUAACAUCAAUGUGAUAAUUAUCUACGUUGGAUGAGUUUGUACAAGGAAAGGUAUAUCUUGGAGUUCAAAUCCUUGAUGAAACAAAUGACAAAUUUGACCUCAAAUCAGGUAGGACUACCCGCUGAACUUAAGCAUAUCAAUAAGCGGAGGAA